UGAGGAAUUUUGCGCAAUGGGGGAAACCCUGACGCAGCGACACCGCGUGGAGGAUGAAAGCCUUCGGGUCGUAAACUCCUGUCAGAGGUGAAGAAUACCCGCAAGGGUUUGACGGUAACCUCAGAGGAAGCCCCGGCUAACUACGUGCCAGCAGCCGCGGUAAUACGUAGGGGGCAAACGUUACUCGGAAUUACUGGGCGUAAAGGGUGCGUAGGCGGCUGGGGAAGUCAAGGAUGAAAUCCCGUGGCUCAACUGCGGAACGGUCCUUGAAACUACUCGGCUUGAGGAUAACCGAAGAGAACGGAAUUCCCGGUGGAGCGGUGAAAUGCGUAGAUAUCGGGAGGAACACCUGAGGCGAAAGCGGUUCUCUAGACUACUCCUGACGCUGAGGCACGAAAGCUAGGGGAGCAAACGG
rnacentral:rRNA from 1 species